AUUGAACGCUGGCGGCAGGCUUAACACAUGCAAGUCGAGCGAGCGGCGGACGGGUGAGUAAUGUCUGGGAAACUGCCUGAUGGCGGGGGAUAACUACUGGAAACGGUAGCUAAUACCGCAUACCAUCAGAUGUGCCCAGAUGGGAGUAGCUCGUAGGUGGGGUAAUGGCCCACCUAGGCGACGAUCCCUAGCUGGUCUGAGAGGAUGACAAGCGACACUAGAACUGAGACAAGGUACAGACGACUACGGGAGGAAGGAGGGGGGAAUAGUGCAGAAUGGGAGGAGGCCUGAGCCAGCCAUGCCGCGUGUGGGAAGAAGGCAGGGGGGUUGUAAAGCACUUUCAGCGAGGAGGCGUUACUCGCAGAAGAAGCACCGGCUAACUCCGUGCCAGCAGCCGCGGUAAUAC
rnacentral:rRNA from 1 species